GAUGUUAAGAACAUCUGUAAUUUGUUAUUACUGACUUUUCUUUUCUUUUUAAAUAACCCUCAGCUUUGUUAAGAUAUAAUUAGUUAACUACGAUGGUCAAUAAGGAAUACCAAAGGAGACCACCUAGGACCGCAACUAGACAGGACUAGAACAUCUUCAGGAACCCAGGAAAUCACUGCUACCAAGUUGCAGAUGCUACCAUGAUGCCAACCUGACUUCCUUGGGUAGAGGACCUCUCCAAUGUGUCCUGGAACCCCAUCUCUGCAGAGCUCUGCCUCAUUAGGAAAAGAUAGAAACUGGGAGUUUGGAUCAACCUGCCAAUGCCCACAGCCAGCGAAGAAGCAAUUACAGAAGCCAGACCUACCACCUUCUGUACCCCAUAAUGAUCCUGGGUCCAUGUUCCCAGAGAGAUAAAGAAUAAGAAAGCUUUCAGUGGUGCAGAUGGGAUAUGAAAUUUUGGUGGUGGGAACUGUAACCCUCUUAUUCUACGGUCUUGUCAAUCAUUAUUAAAUCAUUAAAAAAUCAUUUAGGAUAGAGACAGAGAGAAAUUGAGAAGGUACCCUGCAGACAGAGACCAGGGACUUGAAUCUGAGUGCUUAUGGACUGUAACAUGUGCACUUAACCAG